GCUGCAGUCGUCUAGGGGUAAGGACACCAGUUUGUGGUCAACUCAGGUUAGGAUCACUGGAAACCGAGGUUCGAGUCCUCGCUGUGGCA